rnacentral:rRNA from 1 species
GAGGAAUUGGCGGGGGAGCACCGCAACGGGAGGAGCGUGCGGUUUAAUUGGAUUCAACACCGGAAAACUCACCAGCGGCGACUGUUACAUGAAAGUCAGGCCGAUGACCUUACUAGAUUUUCAGAGAGGUGGUGCAUGGCCGUCGUCAGUUCGUACCGUAAGGCGUUCUCUUAAGUGAGAUAACGAACGAGACCCUCACCAAUAGUUGCUACUCCAUCCUCCGGGGUGGAGGCACACUAUUGGGACCGCUGGCGCUAAGUCAGAGGAAGGAGAGGUCAACGGUAGGUCAGUAUGCCCCGAAUCUCUUGGGCUACACGCGCGCUACAAAGGGCGGGACAAUGGGCUCCGACGCCGAGAGGCGGAGGCAAUCCCGAAACCCGUCCGUAGUUCGGAUUGAGGGCUGUAACCCGCCCUCAUGAAGCUGGAUUCCGUAGUAAUCGCGAAUCAACAACUCGCGGUGAAUAUGCCCCUGCUCCUUGCACACACCGC